GACAGAGGUGGCAAGCGUUGUUCGGAUUUACUGGGCGGAAAGAGUGCGGAGGUGGUGAGGUAAGACCUGUGGGAAAGACCUGGGCUUAACCCAGGAAGGUCGCAAGUGACUGCCUCGCUUGAGGACGGGAGAGGAGAGCGGAAUUCCCGGUGUAGCGGUGAAAUGCGUAGAGAUCGGGAAGAAGGCCGGUGGCGAAGGCGGCUCUCUGGAACGUUCCUGACACUGAGGCACGAAAGCGUGGGGAGCAAAUAGG
rnacentral:rRNA from 1 species